CAGGGGACGGGGAGCUACCCCGGGAGCUCCGGGAUGUUUUGUUUUCCGACUUUAUUGGGUGUAUCCGCACACGUGUUGUAUAGAUCACCCGGUUUAGCGAAAAAAAAAAGGCAAUUUUAAUUUUUUACAUAAAGUAAACGAUUUUACUAACAUCGUUAAUAUAACUAGAUCUAAGCAUAGGUUUUACAAAUUAUUUGAUGUGAAUAUAAAAAAUUUAAAUUUUAAAAAGAUUUUUGUAAUUUAGUAAAAAAAUAUUAUAUCUCGUACUUUCGCUUCAGCUCGACCGGAUCGUAUUCCGGCGCAAACCCCGGCCUGUUCCACGUGCAAUCCCACCGCACCGGUGACCGGUCCCGGUUCCCUGUGGCGGGAGAAGGAAAGCAGGACCAGCGGUUAUCCCCUCCAUAUUCCACGCGCCAAAAUAUCCCAACAUUAUUCCAGCGUAUCUUCGGAGCUCGAAGUGUCGGACCCCUGCGGUGCUCAAAACCCUCGGCCCCUUCGCCUCUGGAGAACUCCACAUUGGGGGAAUUCUUCGGUUCUUUCACCAGGAAGGUCGGGGAAGUUAUUUGCAGCAGAAGUUCUGUAUUUUUGGUGCAAAUUUAGAGGAGCUGGAAUUAUUGAAGCUGUUCAAAGAAUUGCCUGCGGGAUGAAUAUAUCAAAAUAAAAGUCUUGGAGUCACUUGCUGGUAGUGCACCAAAGCACUAUGGAGAGGUGUGGCAAUUAAUCUUAUCAUUAGCUGUUGUUGCUGCAAUUUAAGGGAAAAGCUGUCCUCCAGAAGUAGCCUUCUGAUUUGCAGGAGGAAAGUUCUCACAACUGAAAAUUGUAAGUUACUUAAAAUCCUACUAUUUGAUCCCCCUGCUUUCUCAAAUUGCCACUAGCACUGUAUUUCAAACCACAACAGACAGUGCUUGCUUCGUAUAUUUUCUCAAGGCAAACUCUACGACCAUUUUGGAGAUGAUCUUGCUGAUCACUGCAAAUGACUGCUCCAGCUAUUUUUGAUGAUCUUACAGUACAUCAUGACAUUCUUUUGCUCAAACCUCUCUUUUCUCGAAUUAUGUGAAUCUUGUUCUAAGGUUUUUGCCCCUCCAUCAUUCCCAUGCUAGUCACUGUGAUCCUUCCCAGUUUAUUCUCAAAAUCUCUGAAAAUUAUUUGGACAGGGAGAGGCCUUCUUCUGCACCAGACGCAGCUUGCUCAUGGCUGAUGACCAGGACUCGUUGGUGGCUUCUUUUAAUCUGCGGUUCUAAUGCCGAGCCUUCCAUUUGUUGCAUUUGGCUCCAAUUCUUUCGGCGUCAAGUAUUGCUGGUUCAAAUGUCUCAAUUCUUUCCGUAUGGUACUCAAUUCUUUUCUUUUCUCAAAAAGAAAAGAAAAGAAAAAAGCAGCAAAGCAAAUAUGCUAGCUGAAUAUCUAUAGAUUUGCAUUUGUAACUGCAACUACAUAUCAAGUACUUUGCUCUUCAAUGUCUUCAUACCGAACUUCCAUUAUGACUCAUGGGAACUAAUGUGCUUCUGAUGUAUAACAAGCAUUCGCAGGUACCAGCCAAGGAGUUCGCUUUUAUCAUCCUACUUAAGCUCACAGCAGAAAAUAAAGUUUCUGAUGCACCAUGGACCCAACCUGUAUCCCAAUUUGAGAAAAGCUACUACAAGUGGAUUAUCUAUCUUCAUCACCUGGAGUCAAUUCACUCCUCAGACUUGCUGCUCCUGAGAGAAUCCAAUGUUUCCUCUGCUGCUUCUGCUCAAAGACAUUGCAACCAAGAAAAAUAGAACCCAUGCCCUUCCUACUUCACAGGUUUGAUGGUGCUACUCCAUAGUUCAUAUGUGAGAGUUGCUGCGAUACUUGAAUUCAUUCGCACCUUCCUCAGCCUCACAAACCCUGAUCCUCAGAUGUCCCCAAAAUUAGCUUUCUUUUGGUGAAGUCAUCAAACAAAUCGACAUGAAAUAUUGUAAUUUUCUCAGGUUAUUUUGUGGCGUCCAAUAAUUCUUGGGAUAUCAAGAUCAUCAACCUUCCUGAUCUCUUCUUCGAACAACCGUGCUAUUAUGCAGCGCGGUGCCCUUGUAUGGUAUUGCUAAGCAUCCAAAGAGGCUUUAUGUCAGAUGUCGCAUGCCAGGGAAACUAUUCUUUUCACCACGUUGACAAGGGAUCAUUUUAAAACCAAGAAUGAGAUCAGAAAUCCUUCAAGCACCGUACAGAUUCCAAAUAGGAAAAAAUCAUGUCUUGAAACAGAUUAUAAAACCCCAUGCAAUGAUGACACUAAAACCACUUCACUAAAAAACUAGAUGACCCCAGCCAAUUGAAGACCAAUCACAUCCAGGAACACCCUUAGGUCCAGGUUGCAUCAUCUUUCUUUGAAAGGUGAAGGUGGAAUUCCAAGCAGUUUCAUUUCUCAUAAAAAGAAAAGAUGAAAUGUCUAGUACGCAGGCAGGUGCUGGGUCCAAGAAAUAAAUAAAUAAAUAAAUGCAUCACCACAUACAGAAAGAGGCGCCCCCCUACCCCAGCCAUCCACACUAAAAUGACUCCCAAGAUUAGACCACAAAACAUAUAGUUCUCCAGUGAAGUGGAUAAUGAUACACCAGCGAAAGAAAAUAAAGUUUAAAAACAGCUACAAAAGUUCUUAUAAUUUCAGGUCAGUUAAGAUAAGCUAAAUAUGGAUGUGCAUGAGAUGGUCAAAAGAAAUAAUCCCACCUUCAGGGUCACAAAAGGUUGGUUGACAGGAUCCACUUGCUGCCUGCUUCCACCACUGAUGAACAUAUGACCAUCUUCUGUUAUGCCUUCAAGAAGAUAUUAAACCAUGUUCUUACUGAGAAAGAUCCAAUGCAAUAACAUGUGACUUGAAAA